GUUGGAAUUGGAUCCACCGGUGUGAUAUCGAUCAAAGUUUCCAUCAGAAGACCCGACUGGUUCACCUCGAUAACUGAGUUUCGAGGGACCCAAUGCAUCCUAAAGACUAUCCCAUCAGCCUUGAAGUUCUUAAAAUAAAGUGCUAUAGUUAUUGUAUCGGGGCAUUGAAUUUUGGAAGUGAUCAUGCAGACUGUAUUGUAGGCUGCUAUGAAAAGAAUAAGAAGAAGCCCUGAAUAUUUAUAUCUAGAAUCGACGAGCUCCAAGUUUGUUUAAGGGUGACUAAGAUGGCGCCGUCGGUUGGUGAGCACAAACUUGAAUAGUUGGAUUGUAUACAUGGAUAAGAACUCCUAGUUUUAUGGCUUGCUUUAUCUAUGUAUCUCUUAAGUUAUAAGAAUAUUGUUGUAGAGACACUUUUACUUGAUUUUGUGUUUGAAUGUUGUGGGCAUGAUCGACCCAACCCCAA